rnacentral:rRNA from 1 species
AUUGAACGCUGGCGGCGGGCCUAACACAUGCAAGUCGAGCGGAGCGGCGGACGGGGGAGUAAUGCCUAGGAAUCUGCCUGGUGGUGGGGGAUAACGUCCGGAGACGGGCGCUAAUACCGCAUACUAGCAGAUGAGCCUAGGGCGGAUUAGCUAGUUGGUGGGGUAAAGGCUUACCAAGGCGACGAUGCGUAACUGGUCUGAGAGGAUGAUCAGUCACACUGGAACUGAGACACGGCCCAGACUCCUACGGGAGGCAGCAGUGGGGAAUAUUGGACAAUGGGCGAAAGCCUGACCCAGCCAUGCCGCGUGUGUGAAGAAGGUUUUCGGAUUGUAAAGCACUGUAAUUAGGGAGGCGUUACCUACAGAAUAAGCCCCGGCUAACUUCGUGCCAGCAGCCGCGGUAAUUC